UAGACAAAUUCCUAACAGCCUGUUAGUCGCUCGCCAACAAUUUACAAACCGACCCCGUCCCAACAUCACAAAGUCAUGAGCUGAAUGCGAUGAAUCUUGCUGUAUCACUUUCCAUAUCCAAUAUUAUACUGCACUGUACUGAAAUAUAGUCAUAUUGUUGAGUAGCUUUACUCAUCAGGCUCAACAUGCAAAUGCACGUUCUAACGUUGAAGAAAGGAGGCUCCGGUUGUAACCUUUUUAAGUCAACUUUCAUUCAGCAUCAUCUGAGAUUCCACCUGAGUUCACUUCGAACCGCGUGUGACGGACGAGGGACAGAGUUGUAAUAAAGCCCCGGUGUGACUCUGGCAGUUUGACGCUGCCCCGAGGAAUGUGGAGUCGAUGCCGCUGGCGAUACCGGCAGGUGAAUGAAUGUCCGUCUGUCAGCAGGCCCACUGAUCACAGCGGUCCGGCCAACUGCCCAAAGCCAAGAAUGUCUAAGGCAGCCUGGAGAGGACGACCGGGGGGGACGACUUGGGGGGGGGAACUGUCCCGACGACUAUAGACCCAUAUAGCAUUAUAUCAUAUAUAUAUAGGUCAUUGUAAGAGUCAGCUGCGUUGGACUCUGGUAGCGUGAACAUUAAACCGGAUUGCAUCUUCACACUGUGUUUCAUGACUCAGACGUCCCUCGGUAAAUGUGUUGAAAUGAGGCAUGUUGCAGUAAGUCGGAGCCGAGAUAAGAACAAAGGAGCUGCCACAAACAUCACUAGAGUCCUUUUUCCAUCCUAAGGGGAAGAACACAUCAGUGGGAAUGUAAAAUAAUGUGGACGAGGACUUUAAAUAUCAACCUCCAGUCGCAUUGAAGUCGGCAUUAUUGCUGUUGUUCUCGUUGGUCUCUUUCAGCGACUCCACAGAGGUCUUGUUGGAGACGUCGCCUUCUUCGUCGGUUUUCUCGUCCACACUUGGCUCCACGGGCGCGGGGGGACUCUGCUCAACGGCGGCCGCUUUGGGUUCGUCCGCGGGGCUCUCUGGGGUCGCCGCCGGGGCAGCAGACUCAGCCCCGGGACCAACGUGAGAUUCCUCAGCCUCACCUGUGAAGGACAACAAAAGCCAACAAUUGUCAUUUCUACACAUUUUUCCUUCUUUGAAUCCAGUGUGUUGACACAAAAGAACAACGUGUGAGUGAAUUAAAACAACACAAAGUGAAUUUAACUAAAAACACCCAACAUCUGUGGAAGGUGCCUUCAAUAGGAAGUAAGACUGUUGCCUUAACAUUCAUUGGGUAACAUUGUUGGGACAUCAUUUUAACCUCUAUUAGAUGGCACGUUUGCUACUCAUUGUUCUGUACUUAGCUUCCUCAUAAUAACAGUAUUUCCACCCAUGUAGCCUGAAGCGGUCUCACCCUCUCUGACAGU
ensembl:lncRNA